rnacentral:rRNA from 1 species
CUACGGGUCGCAGCAGUGAGGAAUAUUGCACAAUGGGGGAAACCCUGAUGCAGCAACGCCGCGUGGAGGAUGACGCAUUUCGGUGUGUAAACUCCUUUUAUAUGUCAAGAAAAUGACGGUAGCAUAUGAAUAAGCACCGGCUAACUCCGUGCCAGCAGCCGCGGUAAUACGGAGGGUGCAAGCGUUACUCGGAAUCACUGGGCGUAAAGGACGCGUAGGCUGGUUGGUAAGUCAGGUGUGAAAUCCUACAGCUUAACUGUAGAACUGCACUUGAAACUACCAACCUAGAGUAUGGGAGGGGGAGACGGAAUUAGUGGUGUAGGGGUAAAAUCCGUAGAUAUCACUAGGAAUACCGAAAGCGAAGGCGAUCUCCUGGAACAUAACUGACGCUAAGGCGUGAAAGCGUGGGGAGCAAACAGGAUUAGAUACCCUAGUAGUC